rnacentral:rRNA from 1 species
AUUGAACGCUGGCGGCAGGCCUAACACAUGCAAGUCGAGCGAGCGGCGGACGGGUGAGUAAUGUCUGGGAAACCGCCUGAUGGAGGGGGAUAACUACUGGAAACGGUAGCUAAUACCGCAUACCAUCAGAUGUGCCCAGAUGGGAUUAGCGAGUAGGUGGGGUAAUGGCUAACCUAGGCGACAAUCCCUAUCUGGUCUGAGAGGAUGACCCGCCACACUGGAACUGAGACACGGUCCAGACUCCUCCGGAAGGAAGCGGUGGGGAAUAUUGCACAAUGGGGGCAAGCCUGAUGCAGCCAUGCCGGGUGUAUGAAGAAGGCCUUCGGGUUGUAAAGUACUUUCAGCGGGGAGGCGUUACCCGCAGGAGAAGCACCGACUAACUCCGUGCCAGCAGACGCGGUAAUAC